AUUGAACGCUGGCGGCAUGCUUACACAUGCAAGUCGAACGGUAACAGGGAGCUUGCUCCGCUGACGAGUGGCGAACGGGUGAGUAAUGCGUCGGAACGUGCCGAGUAGUGGGGGAUAACGCAUCGAAAGGUGUGCUAAUACCGCAUACGUACUGAGGUAGAAAGUGGGGGACCUUCGGGCCUCACGCUAUUCGAGCGGCCGACGUCUGAUUAGCUAGUUGGUGAGGUAAAGGCUCACCAAGGCGACGAUCAGUAGCGGGUCUGAGAGGAUGAUCCGCCACACUGUGACUGAGACACGGCCCAGACUCCUACGGGAGGCAGCAGUGGGGAAUUUUGGACAAUGGGCGCAAGCCUGAUCCAGCCAUGCCGCGUGUCUGAAGAAGGCCUUCGGGUUGUAAAGGACUUUUGUCCGGGAGCAAAUGCCUGGUGUUAAUAGCACUGGGAGCUGAGAGUACCGGAAGAAUAAGCACCGGCUAACUACGUGCCAGCCGCCGCUGUAAGAC
rnacentral:rRNA from 1 species